UGCGUAGGCGGAAGAUUAAGUCAGUGAUGAAAUCCUGCAGCUCAACUGUAGAACUGUCAUUGAUACUGAUUUUCUUGAACACAGUUGAGGUAGGCGGAAUAUGUAAUGUAGCGGUGAAAUGCUUAGAUAUUACAUAGAACACCAAUUGCGAAGGCAGCUUACUAAACUGUGAUUGACGCUGAGGCACGAAAGCGUGGGGAGCGAACAGGAUUAGAUACCCUGGUAGUCC
rnacentral:rRNA from 1 species